rnacentral:rRNA from 1 species
CCUACGGGUGGCAGCAGUGAGGAAUAUUGGUCAAUGGACGAGAGUCUGAACCAGCCAAGUAGCGUGAAGGAUGACUGCCCUAUGGGUUGUAAACUUCUUUUAUAUGGGAAUAAAAUGUUCCACGUGUGGGAUUUUGUAUGUACCAUAUGACUAAGGAUCGGCUAACUCCGUGCCAGCAGCCGCGGUAAUACGGAGGAUCCGAGCGUUAUCCGGAUUUAUUGGGUUUAAAGGGAGCGUAGGUGGAUUGUUAAGUCAGUUGUGAAAGUUUGCGGCUCAACCGUAAAAUUGCAGUUGAAACUGGCAGUCUUGAGUACAGUAGAGGUGGGCGGAAUUCGUGGUGUAGCGGUGAAAUGCUUAGAUAUCACGAAGAACUCCGAUUGCGAAGGCAGUUCACUGGACUGCAACUGACACUGAGGCUCGAAAGUGUGGGUAUCAAACAGGAUUAGAUACCCUUGUAGUC